rnacentral:rRNA from 1 species
GUAGUUGAAUUUUAGCCCUGGCUGAGCGGUCCACCAAUGGUUGGUACUGCUUUGGUUGGAGUUCACUUUCUGGUAAUCCUUCAUGCUCUUCAUUGGGUGUGUUGGAAACCCAGGACUUUUACCUUGAAAAAAUUAGAGUGUUCAAAGCAGGCCUACGCUUGAAUACAUUAGCAUGGAAUAAUAGAAUAGGACUUGGGUUCUAUUUUGUUGGUUUCUAGGACCAAAGUAAUGAUUAAUAGGGAUAGUUGGGGGCAUUAGUAUUUAGUAGCUAGAGGUGAAAUUCUUGGAUUUACGAAAGACUAACUUCUGCGAAAGCAUUUGCCAAGGAUGUUUUCAUUAAUCAAGAACGAAAGUUAGGGGAUCGAAGACGAUCAGAUACCGUCGUAGUCUUAACCAUAAACUAUGCCGACUAGGGAUCAGACGAUGUUAAUUUACUGACUCGUUUGGCACCUUAUGAGAAAUCAAAGUUUUUGGGUUCCGGGGGGAGUAUGGUCGCAAGGCUGAAACUUAAAGGAAUUGACGGAAGGGCACCACCAGGAGUGGAGCCUGCGGCUUAAUUUGACUCAACACGGGGAAACUCACCAGGUCCAGACAUAGUAAGGAUUGACAGAUUGAGAGCUCUUUCUUGAUUCUAUGGGUGGUGGUGCAUGGCCGUUCUUAGUUGGUGGAGUGAUUUGUCUGCUUAAUUGCGUUAACGAACGAGACCUUAACCUGCUAAAUAGUUAUGCCAACUUUCGUUGGUAGUCAACUUCUUAGAGGGACUGUCGGCGAUUAGCCGACGGAAGUUUUAGGCAAUAACAGGUCUGUUAUGCCCUUAGAUGUCCUGGGCCGCACGCGCGCUACACUGAUGAAGUCAACGAGUUUAUAACCUUGGCCGGAAGGU